AAUGAACGUUGGCGGCGUGGAUUAGGCAUGCAAGUCGAGCGAGAACCCCGCAAGGGGGGACAGCGGCGAAAGGGACAGUAAUGUGUAGAUUCUCUGCCCUCAGGUCCGGGAUAGCUGCGGGAAACUGCAGGUAAUACCGGAUAACAUCUCCGGAUCAAAGGUGUGAUUCCGCCUGAGGAUGAGUCUGCAUCCUAUUAGCUAGUUGGUGGGGUAAUGGCCUACCAAGGCAUUGAUGGGUAGCAGGUGUGAGAGCACGACCUGCGUCAUUGGGACUGAGACACUGCCCAGACACCUACGGGUGGCUGCAGUCGAGAAUCUUCGGCAAUGGGCGCAAGCCUGACCGAGCGACGCCGCGUGUGGGAUGAAGGCCUUCGGGUUGUAAACCACUGUCAGAGGGGAUGAAAUGCAGGUGGGUUCUCCCAUCUGUUUGACAUAGCCUCAGAGGAAGGACGGGCUAAGUUCGUG
rnacentral:rRNA from 1 species